rnacentral:rRNA from 1 species
AUUGAACGCUGCGGCAGGCUUAACACAUGCAAGUCGAGCGAGCGUCGGACGGGUGAGUAUUGCUUAGGAAUCUUCCUAUUAGUGGUGGACAACAUCUCGAAAGGGAUGCUAAUACCGCAUACUUAGAGAUGAGCCUAAGUCGGAUUAGCUAGUGGGUGGGGUAAAGGCCUACCAAGGCGACGUUCUGUAGCGGGUCUGAGAGGAUGAUCCGCCACAGUGGGACUGAAACACGGCCCAGACUACGACGGGAGGCAGCAGUGGGGAAUAUUGGACAAGGAGGGGAAGACUGAUGGAGCAAUGCCGCGUGUGUGAAGACGGCCUUAUGGUUGUAAAGCGCUGUAAGCGAGGAGGCGUUACUCGCAGAAAAAGCACCGGCUAACUCCGUGCCAGCAGCCGCGGUAGUAC